AUUGAACGCUGGCGGCAUGCCUUACACAUGCAAGUCGAACGGUAACAGGUUAAGCUGACGAGUGGCGAACGGGUGAGUAAUACAUCGGAACGUGCCCAGACGUGGGGGAUAGCUCGGCGAAAGCCGGAUUAAUACCGCAUAAGCUCUGAGGAGGAAAGCGGGGGACCGUAAGGCCUCGCGCGUUUGGAGCGGCCGAUGGCAGAUUAGGUAGUUGGUGGGGUAAAGGCUUACCAAGCCCACGAUCUGUAGCUGGUCUGAGAGGACGACCAGCCACACUGGGACUGAGACACGGCCCAGACUCCUACGGGAGGCAGCAGUGGGGAAUUUUGGACAAUGGGCGAAAGCCUGAUCCAGCAAUGCCGCGUGCAGGGUGAAGGCCUUCGGGUUGUAAACUGCUUUUGUACGGAACGAAAAGGCGCCUACUAAUACUGGGUGUUGAUGACGGUACCGUAAGAAUAAGCACCGGCUAACUACGUGCCAGCCGCCGCAGUAAAAC
rnacentral:rRNA from 1 species